GCUGCUUUUACUUCAUCGAUCAAUGAUGUUUUUUACUCAAUCCUUUAUUGUUUCGAUCCACCUCUUGAUUAUUCUUCAUCCUCCAAAUCCAGACGUUUCAUGUUUCUAUCAACCACUUGCUAUAUAUUUAGGGACAUACACACAAACCCUCAUUACCCAAACCAAGUACUAUGUUCUUACUUUUCUAUUCCCCUUUUCCGUCAUGGCUAACCUCAAUUUUGUCGUCCUAUUUGACAUUGGACAAUCUGCAUAUUUGCCGUUUUCUCAAGAGGAGAGUCAUCAUGUACUGGGAUUACUACUUUGGCUUAUAGAAACUCAUAUUCAGGAGCUUGAGGAGGAACUUAAGUUUCUCAAGAAUCACUCUCAACCAAAUAUAUUUAGCUUUUGGAUGGAGAAGGGAAGCGGGAAGAAACAUUGGCUGUUAUUAGCAAGGAAGCUGGAGCAUUGGCCACGGCUGAUGGGAACCAAGAGCUUAAACUCAAGUGUCAUAUAAACUACUGUUCUUCAGGACUUUUGUAAGUGGAAGUGGUUGUCCAAGAUGGUAAGAAGAAAAAGAAAUUGGUAGAAGACUAAGGAAGAAGAUGAAGAACAACGAAAAGUGGGUGCUUGGGUAAAGGAGGAGAACACAACAUUAUAAGAAGGUUGUGCUUGGACAUGUGAGGUGUCAUAAGGGAAGGAACUAUAAAAUGAUUUUCACCUGAAUUAUUUAUCGUGGCUGGAGGGGUUUGAUUUCGUGACCGACCUCUGUUUUUGUUUUCUUUGCUGGUGGAGGAGCAAAAAAAAACAUUCAGAGAUUUCAUUUGAUAUACUAUGCGUUUCAGA